rnacentral:rRNA from 1 species
UGAUUCGUCCAGUGGAAUUUAAAUUUGUGGAAUUUUUCCUAAUUAGACAAUUUUUUAAAUAUUUAUUAAGUUGUUAUUAAAAAUAUAUAAAUUUUUAAGUUAUUGAGAGAAUAUUAGGGGUGUAAAACUUUAGUGCCAGCAUCCGCGGUCAUACUAUGUUCUUCGAGCAAAUUUUAUCCAAUAGGUUAUGAGUAAGAAAAUUUAUUUAAAUUGGACUUUUUUGAGUGAAAUUUUAGAUGUUUAGGUAUUAUAUUAUUAGGUUUUCAUUUGAAAAGUUGAAUAUAAACUAGGAUUAGAUACCCUAUUAUACAACAACUACUAGUCUUUAUUGAGAAGAUUUUAACAACUUCUAGAUAUAGCUGGGUGGCUAUUAUUGAUAAUUUUAGAGAAGCAUGUAUAUAUUAAACGAAUUUGCACGAAUAUCUUACCUUUUUUAAAACAUGUCGUCCACUGCCGUCGGAAGUUUUGGUUAUAAAGACUUAUCUUUAUCCUUUAUAAUUUGUAGAGUACAAGGAAAUAAGUCAGGUAAAGGUGCGCAUAAUUUGAAGGUUUAAAUGUGCCUCUUUAAAGUUUUUACUUGGAUUUAUUUUUUAAAUAUUAAUGAAAAAGAAUUUAAUAGUAAAACUUGUUUAUUAAACGUUUUUGAAAUUUAAUCAAUUAAGCACAGAUUGCCCGUCAGUCAUUUGAAAGAAUGAUAAGUCGAAACAUAGUUGACCCACUGGAAAG